AUACGGAGGGUGCAAGCGUUAUCCGGAUUUACUGGGUUUAAAGGGUGCGUAGGCGGGCGCCUAAGUCAGCGGUGAAAUGCAGCGGCUCAACCGUUGAACUGCCGUUGAAACUGGGCGCCUUGGAUGCGGUCGGGGCCGGCGGAAUGCGUGGUGUAGCGGUGAAAUGCUUAGAUAUCACGCAGAACGCCAAUUGCGAAGGCAGCUGGCCGGGCCGCAAUCGACGCUGAGGC
rnacentral:rRNA from 1 species